GUGCACAUUUCAUCGACGUGCUACCAUUUGUAUGUGAGCAGUGUUAUUUCUUAUGUGCGAAUCGAGUAGCUGAAGGUCAAUUAGCAGUUUAACUAAAUGUAGUAAUGCUGUCGGUCUCAUUCAUACAAAA
rnacentral:snoRNA from 1 species